rnacentral:rRNA from 1 species
UUAAACCUCUUCCAGAGUAUCAAUUGGAGGGCAAGUCUGGUGCCAGCAGCCGCGGUAAUUCCAGCUCCAAUAGCGUAUAUUAAAAUUGUUGCAGUUAAAAAGCUCGUAGUUGAAUUUCUGCUGCAUUGCUUUUGCUCCUUUACGAGUCUUUGCAUUGUGGCUUAUUUCGGACUUUGUUUUACAAUGUCCGGAUGUUUACUUUGAGAAAAUUAGAGUGCUCAAAGCAGGCUUUCGCCUUGAAUAGUUUAGCAUGGAAUAAUAAAGUAGGACUUUGGUUCUAUUUUGUUGGUUUUAGGUACCAAAGUAAUGGUUAAUAGGAACAGUUGGGGGCAUUCGUAUUUAACUGUCAGAGGUGAAAUUCUUAGAUUUGUUAAAGACGAACUACUGCGAAAGCAUUUGCCAAGGAUGUUUUCAUUAAUCAAGAACGAAAGUUAGGGGAUCGAAGACGAUCAGAUACCGUCGUAGUCCUAACCAUAAACUAUGCCGACUAGAGAUUGGAGGUCGUCAGUUUUUACGACUCCUUCAGCACCUUGAGAGAAAUCAAAGUCUUUGGGUUCUCUCGGGAGUAUGGUCGCAAGGCUGA